GAAACGGGGCUGGAGGAGGCGUCUUUCCUGCGCAACGCCAGAGGUUCUACACAUGUCCGGAAAGAGUGAAGAUGGCUUGAUCAGCAAGAUACAGACAGCUUUUACAAAAGAAUUCAAAGUUCGACUGAGGAGCAUAAUCUCUAAAACAGAAGUGACAAAAAAACCUCAGUUCGUGAAAACCUUUGACUGGCGAUUCCUUGCUUUGCAUCUCAGUCUCAGCAUUUUAUCAGCAAAAUUUAUUACCUGCUGUAUAUCUGUGGCAACCCACUGCCAACUAUAGUUUGUUCUCGUAAACAAAGAAAAUAAGCCUGACUUUCAGUUUAUGGUAUUUCCAUGAGCAGAGGCUGUUGGAAUGUUGUUAAUGUAUAAUUGAACUGUACAUAAACAGUCUUGCAGCUGUCUGUUUUAAGGUUUGGAAAGUAAAUUUUGAGCAACACUACAUUACAUUAAAUUGCUA